AAUUUUAUUUAAGGUCUGACCUGCCCUAUGAGAAAUUAAAUGGCCGCGGUAUUUUAACCGUGCAAAGGUAGCAUAGUCACUUGUCUCUUAAUUGGAGGCUUGAAUGAAGGGUUGGACGAGAUAUAAACUUUCUUUAUUAUAAUCAGUUGAAUUUGACUUUUGAGUCAAAAGGCUUAAAUAUAUUUAUAGGACGAGAAGACCCUAUAGAAUUUUAUAUUUUUAUUUUAAUAAUUUAUUUGUUUAUAAUUAAAUUUUUUUUAUAAAAAUAUUUUGUUGGGGCGAUGGGAAGAUUUUUUUAACUC
rnacentral:rRNA from 1 species